GUGAAUCAUCGAAUUUUUGAACGCAAAUUGCACUCUCCUCGGAGAGUAUGCCUGUUUGAGGUUCAGCCUAAAAAAGAAUCAACAUCGUUGCUGUUUCGCGGUGACGUUAGUCGGUAAUUGGGUCAGCUGAAACCUGUUGGUUUUUAAGCAACUUAAGAUUUUCUUUUGACCCCGUGAACGUUUCUAAGUUUUAUAUCUUUACACAUUAAUGGGAAUCGAGUUUAUUAGAGGUGGC
rnacentral:misc_RNA from 1 species